UACAGAGGGUGCAAGCGUUAAUCGGAAUUACUGGGCGUAAAGCGUGCGUAGACGGUUAUGUAAGUCGGGUGUGAAAGCCCCGGGCUCAACCUGGGAAUGCCAUUCGAGACUGCGUAGCUAGGGUGCGGAAGAGGGAAGCGGAAUUUCCGGUGUAGCGGUGAAAUGCGUAGAUAUCGGAAGGAACACCAGUGGCGAAGGCGGCUCACUGGACCGGUACUGACGCUGAUGCGCGAAAGCGUGGGGAGCAAACGGG
rnacentral:rRNA from 1 species